CCUACGGGAGGCUGCAGUAGGGAAUAUUGCUCAAUGGGGGAAACCCUGAAGCAGCAACGCCGCGUGGAGGAUGAAGGUUUUCGGAUUGUAAACUCCUUUUGUUAGAGAAGAUAAUGACGGUAUCUAACGAAUAAGCACCGGCUAACUCCGUGCCAGCAGCCGCGUUAAUACGGAGGGUGCAAGCGUUACUCGGAAUCACUGGGCGUAAAGCGCGCGUAGGCGGGAUAGCAAGUCAGAUGUGAAAUCCUAUGGCUUAACCAUAGAACUGCAUUUGAAACUGUUAGUCUAGAGUAUGGGAGAGGUAGGUGGAAUUCGUGGUGUAGGGGUAAAAUCCGUAGAGAUCAAGAGGAAUACUCAUUGCGAAGGCGACCUGCUAGAACAUAACUGACGCUGAUGCGCGAAAGCGUGGGGAGCAAACAGGAUUAGAUACCCGAGUAGUC
rnacentral:rRNA from 1 species